GCUUAUAUAGUUUAAAACCAAAC
rnacentral:tRNA from 2 species